GGGGAAUAUUGGCCAAUGGGGGCAACCCUGAUCCCAGCCAUGCCGCGUGUGUGAAGAAGGCCCUUCGGGUUGUAAAGCACUUUCAGCGAGGAAGAAUGCUUGUCGGUUAAUACCCGGCAAGGGAGACAUCACUCGCAGAAGAAGCACCGGCUAACUCCGUGCCAGCAGCCGCGGUAAUACGGAGGGUGCGAGCGUUAAUCGGAAUUACUGGGCGUAAAGCGUGCGUAGGCGGCUUGAUAAGCCGGUUGUGAAAGCCCCGGGCUCAACCUGGGAACGGCAUCCGGAACUGUUAGGCUAGAGUGCAGGAGAGGAAGGUAGAAUUCCCGGUGUAGCGGUGAAAUGCGUAGAGAUCGGGAGGAAUACCAGUGGCGAAGGCGGCCUUCUGGACUGACACUGACGCUGAGGUACGAAAGCGUGGGUAGCAAACAGGAUUAGAUACCCUGGUAGUCCACGCCGUAAACGAUGUCGACUAGCCGUUGGGGUCCUCGAGACCUUUGUGGCGCAGUUAACGCACUAAGUCGACCGCCUGGGGAGUACGGCCGCAAGGUUAAAACUCAAAUGAAUUGACGGGGGCCCGCACAAGCGGUGGAGCAUGUGGUUUAAUUCGAUGCAACGCGAAGAACCUUACCUACCCUUGACAUCGUGCGAACUUUCCAGAGAUGGAUUGGUGCCUUCGGGAGCGCACAGACAGGUGCUGCAUGGCUGUCGUCAGCUCGUGUUGUGAAAUGUUGGGUUAAGUCCCGUAACGAGCGCAACCCUUGUCCCUAUUUGCCAGCGAUUCGGUCGGGAACUCUAGGGAGACUGCCGGUGACAAACCGGAGGAAGGUGGGGACGACGUCAAGUCAUCAUGGCCCUUACGGGUAGGGCUACACACGUGCUACAAUGGCCGGUACAAUGGGUUGCAAAGCGGCGACGUGGAGCUAAUCUCAUAAAGCCGGUCUCAGUCCGGAUCGGAGUCUGCAACUCGACUCCGUGAAGUCGGAAUCGCUAGUAAUCGUGCAUCAGAAUGGCACGGUGAAUACGUUCCCGGGCCUUGUACACACCGCCCGUCACACCAUGGGAGUGGACUGCACCAGAAGUGGUUAGCCUAACUUCGGAGGGCGAUCACCACGGUGUGGUUCAUGACUGGGGUGAAGUCGUA
rnacentral:rRNA from 1 species